GAUUGCUCUAAUAGUUGAAGAGUCUUUUCCUACAAGUAUGAGGCCUUAGAGGAUGUAGAUAAUUAUCAAAAGCAUUGUUCGACCUUUCAGUCAAUUUGUUAAGUGCUCUCUAGCUUAUGAUAGGAAAACUCUGAUGAUCCUGAUGUCUGAAUUUUUUUGAACUUGAAUAAUUUACCAUCUCGACUCAUUAUUGUGCAAUAGUAAAUUUUUAUUUGGGGAGAGCUACAAUAAUUUUAGCAUUUCGGUAAUUGCUAAGUCUACCCAACCAAUUCCUAAUUGUAUCUCUGACGAAUCAGGAGAAAGCAAAAGCAAACAAUAUAGAAAUAAGAUUAGAUUAGAAGAAUGUGCAAACACUUCACUCAUAUUAUAAUAAAAAUAGAAUAGACUAUGAUCUUGAUUCAUUCUCAUUUGCGGGUAGACUAUGAUCAGUAUUCUUGAUAUGUUGCAAUGUACUAGUUCAAUUGCAAAAAUUGUAGCUUCUGAUAGUUUAGUUGUUGUUAGUUAAUGGUAACUGCUGCUGCAGUACAUUACAGGUAAAUGAGUCUUGAAUUUAUUUCAAUUUAUUAUUUUUUCAUUUUUCUAAGUUAUCUUCUCUUGUUUAUUUUCUGCAUCAUAGGAUGGUGCCACAAAGAAAAUCCUGUUCCAGUUUCAAUGUAUAACAUGGAAAUUGGAGAAAGCUUUGGAUAACUUCCUUAUGAUGAUUUUAACAUAUCAGAAGAAGUGCUAGAGCAGGUUGAAUUAGUCUGGUCACAGUUGAGAUGAGCCGCUGAAAGAUACGGCCGCCCUCUAAGCUCAAGCUUAUCUCAGCCAUCGGAUAAGGAGAUACAUGUAGAAAAAACCAGUAACUUUGACCACCGGAUCGGAUUUAGAUAUGAAACUGAGAUGUCCUAGGAUCAUAAUUAGUGUAGCAGGUUUAUCCUUCGGAUUGGAUUUAUAUAGGUCUUGUCAAAUUACUAUAUGUUGUUAAUAAAGAUUUGUUAUUGUGCAAAGCUGAAUAUAUAUAUUGAUAAAUUGAGGUAUUUCUUACAAAA